AGUGAACGCUGGCGGUAGGCCUAACACAUGCAAGUCGAACGGCAGCACAGUAAGAGCUUGCUCUUACGGGUGGCGAGUGGCGGACGGGUGAGGAAUACAUCGGAAUCUACUUUUUCGUGGGGGAUAACGUAGGGAAACUUACGCUAAUACCGCAUACGACCUACGGGUGAAAGCAGGGGAUCUUCGGACCUUGCGCGAUUGAAUGAGCCGAUGUCGGAUUAGCUAGUUGGCGGGGUAAAGGCCCACCAAGGCGACGAUCCGUAGCUGGUCUGAGAGGAUGCACAGACACAAUGGAAGUGGGACCAGGGAGAGAGACAGAGGGGAGACAGGAGUGGGAAAGAUUGGAAAAGGGGCUCAGGCCGUAGCCAGCCAUACCGCGUGGGUGAAGAGGGCGUUGGGGUUGUAAGUGCCUUUUGUGGAGAAAGAAAAGCAGGAGGUAAAUACCCCGCUGUUCUGACGGUACCCAAAGAAUAAGCACCGACUAACGUCGGGCCAGCAGCAGCGGUAAUAGAUGGAAGAGAAAAGUUCUAAAC
rnacentral:rRNA from 1 species